rnacentral:misc_RNA from 1 species
UUUUUCCAGUGUCAGAGUUACAGUAGUUUCUAGAGAAUCAGCAAUGGAGAGACUUCGAUGUCAGAGGAUCGGUUGUAAUGCUACCUUCACUGAGGAUGAUAAUCCUGAAGGCUCAUGCACUUAUCACGAAUCUGGUCCUUUAUUUCAUGAUGGAAUGAAGCAGUGGAGUUGUUGCAAGGAAAAAAGUCAUGAUUUCAGUUUAUUUCUUGAAAUUCCUGGGUGUAAGACAGGAAAGCACACAACAGAAAAACCAGUGAUCGCAACACCAUCCGCUACCAAAAAUAAAGCAGUGCCGGUGCGUGUGCCAGCUCCUAUGACCAAUGCAUCACCGAAAGAAGCCUGUUCUAGAUGCCACCAGGGAUUCUUUUGUUCUGAUCAUGGUUCACGACCCAGAGAAGCAAUUCCAAAAGCAUCAAAUACAGUAACAUCUCUACCUUCUGAGAGCAAUACAGUUAUACAGCAAGACCAUCCAGCUCCAGUGAAAAAAAAAUUUGAUAUAAAUGAGCCCCAAAUUUGUAAAAACAAGAGCUGCGGUAAGACCUUUACAGAAAAGGAAAAUCACGACACUGCUUGUAGUUACCACCCCGGCCCUGCAAUCUUCCAUGACCGGAUGAAAGGAUGGAAAUGCUGUGAUGUUCAUGUCAAAGAAUUUGACGAGUUCAUGACCAUACCUCCAUGCACCAAAGGAUGGCACAACAGUGACCCAGUGUCCUAAUAGACAGGUUCAUGAAUGAGCCACACAUGACUUGUUUGUUGCAUCAUUCAUCGAUCAACUGUCGUUGCUACUCUAGACAUUGACAUAAUUUUACUUUCGGUCCAUCUGCAACUAGUUCUUUGUGUCUGUAAGGUAGACACCUGAGACGAACAAUCUAUAACGUCUGAAUUUUUUGAUAGACAAAUCGGAGAAAUAGCUCAGUCAAUACAUUG